GUUAGCGUAGCAAAACCUGGUGUUGCGAAAGACCUAAACCCUUCGCAUAGAAGUUCAAAUCUUCUCGCUAACU
rnacentral:tRNA from 1 species